rnacentral:tRNA from 2 species
GGAGAGAUGCCGGAGUGGUCGAACGGGCUCGCCUGGAAAGUGAGUGUGUCCUCAACGGGGCACCGAGGGUUCGAAUCCCUCUCUCUCCGCCA